CCCCCGCUGUUGGGCCCGCCCCCGCAGCUGUUGGACUGCUGCUCAGCGCCGGCGCGCCGCUUGCUCCCGAGCGCGUGUGCUCCGCAGAUAGAAGGGGAUGGAACGCGGCGGGGAGCGGAGGGACGAAGACAAUGCGAACGCUCACAGCGCGCAGCACGUGCCCGAGGGCCCCCAGAAGCUUGACUCUGGGGGCUGGGGCUCGCGGCCCACGGGGAGAGGGUGUUGUCGUGAACUUUCAUGAGGUUCUCUUUGUCGAUGACACCCGGGCCACGGUGGGGGCACUAACCCCCCGGGGGGAGGGGUCCUGGGAAUGAAUCGUAGCCCAGCGCUUGGCCUUGAACAGGAUAUUAGUGGAAAUAUUGCUGUGGUUGUCAGGAAACGCGAGUGCAGCCGCACAGCUACUGCCUGUUAUGCAGCGAGGAUAUCCGGUGGCUGCGAGGUCUGUAAUUUAGAAUAAAAAGCUCUCCCAACACCCGAGAGGCUGACCUCAGCGCCGCGUGGCGGUAAUGCGCUCAGCGCCCUCUGUGGAGACGGUCCAAAUCCUGACAGGUGGGAGAGCUUAGGUUAGACCUUCAAGAGCCCUGCAGAUGGACCUGCAGAAUCAGACUGCAAAAGUGAGCCAGCCACUUGCUAAACGUAGUUGAAGUGGAGGGCACAGAUCGCCUGCCAGUUAACAAUAUUAAUAAGUAGUGUUUUCCAGGGCAGACUGCUACUUCCGUGUUGGGUUCUUUACAAAGUGGGUAACUGACCGUUAUUCACGAAGCCAGAAGCGUGUAUCUGCAGUGCCACGAGACUGGAGAAGGAUCCAGGACCACACAGCUGUCUUCUUAGAUAAAUCUGACCCACUUGGCCUUCUCUGGAGGGAUGUUUCGUGCUGACUCACGAGCAACAGGAAGAGUACAGAUGAAAAGCGAGUCUAUACACAAAUUGUAUCUUGACACAUCCUAUAUAAAUUUGACUCAAAUGGUAAACCCAACAACCCUAAUCUAGAGAAGACUAGCCAUGCUAAGUCCCAGGAAGUACUGUGGAGAUGAGGUGAGAUAAGGCAUGCUAAACAUCUGCCAUUAGGUACUCAAGAAAUGCUAGAAAUUGUACUACAAUUUAUUCCCAUUGUGGAGGUGUGGCAUACCUAUAAAGUGUUAAAUUUGAUACUAAUAGGCAAAUGUGUGAAUUAGCUGUUGAUUAACAUUUCAUUUAUCAUUCCAACCUUGGAAUAAUUCCUAUACAUGGAGCAACCUUCUGCUGGCCCAUCAAUCAGUCUUAGGCCUCACCCCAAUGAAAUAAGACCAAGAGUUUCACUAAGCCACUGGUAUCUAAGCUUCAGCUCUGACUAGAAGGAAAUUCCCACAAAUAGGGUCGAAACCUACAUUCCUGGUAUGCAAACUGAUUCCUUGAUUCAAAGGCACUUUUUUUUUUUUUGCUACACCAUUUUUUUAGAAUUAUUUUUACAUUUAUUUAUUGAGUAUGUCGGUGCGAUUGUAUGUGUGGAAGUUAAAGGAUAGCCCAUAAAAUCAUUCUUUCUUUCUACCAUGUGGGUCCCAGGACCCGAACUGUGGGUCAUGGUUAGAGGUAAUAGCCCUUACCUGAUGAGCUACUUCAUUAGCCACUUGCUAUAACUUCACCCCAUCUUACCUCCUGAAGCCUCCAGUGUGUACAAUUAUUAAGAAUUCUCUGCCCUGAAAGAAGGCCCUCCCUGCAGGCACAAACUAGGUAUGUUAGAUUUCCCAGGUUGUGAAUUGUUAGGAAUACAUUUCUUUCUUUAUAAAUUAUCCACUCCGUAGUAUUCUUUGAUAGCAGUGUAGAAGAAGCUAAGACAUUAGGCAUUCUCUUGGCAACUCUUCCUCCCAUGCCCAGCCUUUACAGCAAGAGUCUUGGGAUGUGGUCCUCCAUACCCUUCAUACCCUCUCUGAAUGGGCUCGUAGCCCCGUGUUACUAUCUUUAAGAAUGUGAGUCUCAAAUUUUUAGCACAUCUGGAAGCUCCACUCUUAAUGUAACUGCCUACUUGUCAUUAAUAGCUCACUGUAUUAUAAGCAUCUCAAACAUGACAUGUCUCAAAUUCUUAAUUUCAUCUAUCCAGACAUAAUACUUCCGAGUCUUAAAAGUCAAGUUGUGGUACCACCAUCUACCUAGUUCCUCAAGCCAAAGCCCAGGAGUCAUAUUUAAUUCUUCUUUCCUUUAUACCCUUUAAAUUUAUCAAAAAAAAUCAUAAUGUGUCCACUUCCAGACUAUUUCCCAUGGCUUACCUUUCCACCAUCCCUGUUAUUGCCGUGCCUGCUCCCAGCCUCUCGCGCAGGUGCCUGUGCGUCCUUGUACUGGCCUCUCUGCUCCCAUGAUCCUUACAUCACAACUGAUCCAGAAUGGCCACUUAAAAAUAGAGCCCCAGUUGUGCAUGAAGCUCUCCAGUAGUUUUCUGUAGCAGAAACAGAACUUAUAUUAGAGUAAAACUUUUAUUAGAGUAAUCCCAUAAGAACUAUAAGAGAACUAUCAGUGCCCACCUUCUGCCUACUUAACUUGGCCUUUCCAAUAGCCAGUGCCCUUCAGCUCAAUGGUCUUCAUGUUCUUCAAGCCCACCAGUACUAAAAGCAUCUUUGAGCCUUUGCAUUUUCUUCUUUUAAAUCUCUUUUAUUAUAUUUUUUUAAUCUUAUUUUAUGCCUAACUGUCCUGGACUUGGCUCUUUGGGCAAGCCUGGCCUCAAACUCGCAGAGACCCAGAAGCCAGUUCUUGUCACAUCACCCAGAAGCCAGUUCUUGUUGCAUCACAUGGAAGGCUGGAGAACAAUACAGGCUAUUGGCCUUGGAAGCAAGUGCCUUUACCUGAGGAGCCAUCUCAACAGCCCUCACUCUCUGUUUUCUCUGCUGAAAUCCCCGUGUUCUCAUCGUCACACUGGACUCUCGCAAUCCAUCACUUACGUAGUGCUGUUAUGUUUGCUGUACAUGGAGUGUCCAAGGCAGAGGGGCUGGAGUUAACCAUAAGCCUUAGUUCAAGGAUGCCUGAAGCAAAGAGAACAUCUCAUUCUACAGACUCACUGACUAAAGGCCAAACCACAUGGCCAGGAACUAUGUCCUGAAAGAGAACUCAUGAUACCUACAUGACUAUAUAUACUUCAUAAGAACCUGAUGGAACUAGUGCAAUCCUUAUUUAGAAACUAAGGCUAGGAGGUGAAACAAUUAGCACUUGUUGAAACACUACCUCAUCUCACCAUCCUGUCUCUUGACAAGAAUUUAAAUCAGAAACCUUUUUUAAGCCAGGCAUUGGUGGUACACGCCUUUAAUCCCAGCACUUGGGAGGCAGAGGCAGGCAGAUUUCUGAGUUCAAGGUCAACCUGGUCUACAGAGUGAUUUCCAGGACAGCCGGGACUUACAGAGAAACCCUGUCUUGAAAAACAAAAAGGAGGAGGAAGAGGAGGAGGAGGAAGAGGAGGAGGAGGAAGAGGAGGAGGAGGAGGAGGAAAAAGAAACCUUUCUUUAUAUCAGGUUUUAAUUCCACUUGAUAUAGGAUAUUUGUAGUAAAUUUUUAAAAACCCUACGAAGACCCAGCUAUAGUUGUAAAGCUUAUGGAAUGAGCUACAACUAACUAUAAAAAUGGCCUAUCCACAUGCCAUUACAGUGAUAAUCUGUCAUGUAUUUCUUUCAGUCUCCAUGCAUCUAAGCAUACAGACCUUGUCCUUCUAUGGACCUUUGUGCGUGCUGGCGUAUGGCCUACCAAGACAGUUAUCUGUAUAAACCUCUAAGGUAGAAAAUACAUUGAUGUAAUGAGUUUCA